GAUGAACGCUGGCGGCGUGCCUAAUACAUGCAAGUCGAGCGAACAGACGAGGAGCUUGCUCCUCUGACGUUAGCGGCGGACGGGUGAGUAACACGUGGAUAACCUACCUAUAAGACUGGGAUAACUUCGGGAAACCGGAGCUAAUACCGGAUAAUAUAUUGAACCGCAUGGUUCAAUAGUGAAAGACGGUUUUGCUGUCACUUAUAGAUGGAUCCGCGCCGCAUUAGCUAGUUGGUAAGGUAACGGCUUACCAAGGCAACGAUGCGUAGCCGACCUGAGAGGGUGAUCGGCCACACUGGAACUGAGACACGGUCCAGACUCCUACGGGAGGCAGCAGUAGGGAAUCUUGCGCAAUGGGCGAAAGCUUGACGGAGCAACGCCGCGUGAGUGAUGAAGGUCUUCGGAUCGUAAAACUCUGUUAUUAGGGAAGAACAAAUGUGUAAGUAACUAUGCACGUCUUGACGGUACCUAAUCAGAAAGCCACGGCUAACUACGUG
rnacentral:rRNA from 1 species